UGGGGGAUAUUGCACAAUGGGCGAAAGCCUGAUGCAGCGACGCCGCGUGGGGGAUGAAGGCUUUCGGGUUGUAAACCUCUUUCGCUAUCGAACAAGGCCCGCUUAGGGUGGGUUGAGGGUAGGUGGAGAAGAAGCGCCGGCUAACUACGUGCCAGCAGCCGCGGUAAUACGUAGGGCGCGAGCGUUGUCCGGAAUUAUUGGGCGUAAAGGGCUUGUAGGCGGCUUGUUGCGCCUGCUGUGAAAACGCGGGGCUUAACUUCGCGCGUGCAGUGGGUACGGGCAGGCUUGAGUGUGGUAGGGGUGACUGGAAUUCCAGGUGUAGCGGAGGAAUGCGCAGAUAUCUGGAGGAACACCGAUGGCGAAGGCAGGUCACUGGGCCAUUACUGACGCUGAGGAGCGAAAGCAUGGGUAGCGAACAGG
rnacentral:rRNA from 1 species